rnacentral:rRNA from 1 species
GCUCACCAAGGCGACGACGGGUAGCUGGUCUGAGAGGAUGAUCAGCCACAUUGGGACUGAGAUACGGCCCAGACUCCUACGGGAGGCAGCAGUGGGGAAUAUUGCGCAAUGGCCGCAAGGCUGACGCAGCGACGCCGCGUGUGGGAUGAAGGCCUUCGGGUCGUAAACCACUGUCAGGGGGGACGAAUACUCGGCCUCGAAUAGGGGACCGAGGGUGACGGUACCCCCAGAGGAAGCACCGGCUAACUCCGUGCCAGCAGCCGCGGUAAUACGGGGGGUGCAAGCGUUGUCCGGAAUCACUGGGCGUAAAGCGCGCGUAGGCGGUUGUCUAAGUCACUUGUGAAAUCCCGGGGCUCAACUCCGGGGCUGCAGGUGAGACUGGGCAGCUGGAGCUCGGUAGAGGCGAGUGGAAUUCCCGGUGUAGCGGUGGAAUGCGUAGAUAUCGGGAAGAACACCAGUGGCGAAGGCGACUCGCUGGGCCGAUGCUGACGCUGAGGCGCGAAAGCGUGGGGAGCAAACAGGAUUAGAUACCCUGGUAGUCCACGCCGUAAACGAUGGGUACUAGGCGUCGGGGGGAGCGACCCCUUCGGUGCCGCAGC